AUCGCUUCUCGGCCUUUUGGCUAAGAUCAAGUGUAAU
rnacentral:snRNA from 1 species